GGGCCAGUGAUGAAAAAAUGUGAGGAAGUCAUGCUCCGCUCUGAUUUUUCUGUGCUGAUAAUUUUCUAACCCAAUUUUUCCUGAACCC
rnacentral:snoRNA from 1 species